rnacentral:rRNA from 1 species
CCUUCGGGUGCGUUAAUGGGCGUCGAGCGGCGGACGGGUGAGUAAUGCCUAGGAAAUUGCCUUGAUGUGGGGGAUAACCAUUGGAAACGAUGGCUAAUACCGCAUGAUGCCUACGGGCCAAAGAGGGGGACCUUCGGGCCUCUCGCGUCAAGAUAUGCCUAGGUGGGAUUAGCUAGUUGGUGAGGUAAUGGCUCACCAAGGCGACGAUCCCUAGCUGGUCUGAGAGGAUGAUCAGCCACACUGGAACUGAGACACGGUCCAGACUCCUACGGGAGGCAGCAGUGGGGAAUAUUGCACAAUGGGCGCAAGCCUGAUGCAGCCAUGCCGCGUGUAUGAAGAAGGCCUUCGGGUUGUAAAGUACUUUCAGUUGUGAGGAAGGGGGUGUUGUUAAU